UAUGACCCUCAAGUUUGUUACCCCUGCAUGAGCCACACCACCAAAUGGGGUGGCUGCAAUCCCUCCUCUCUCCACUCAAGAAGCUUUGGUUCCAGAUGCAUUCCACUCACAAGAAGAGAAGAGGGAUAUACAUUCUAUAUGAAGAUGUCAAAUCUUGCCCCUAUGAAGACGUGCACGUCCUCUGGUCAGUACUAGUGGAAUCACAUUCUUCUUCUUAGCCAUUGAAAAAAUGAGGGCUAAGCACAUAACAGAAUCGAUACGAGCUAGUAAAGUUCAUACAUAAACUAUUUAUGAUGUCCAAACACUGUUUUUCUCUUUUUCCUUUUAUUUGUUUUUAACAUUUGUAGCAUCAACACAUAGGAUGAUUCUCUUCGAUUUUUUGUUUUAUUUUUUUGUCGUAUGAAGCAUCCAUUAAGAGCUUAUUUAAACAUCCAUAUUUCAUUUUCCUCCUUGAAUACUUCAA